GACGUAGGUGGCGAACGUUAUCCGGAAUUAUUGGGCGUAACGGGUGCGUAGGCGGCAUGAUAAGUUAUUGGCGGCAAAUCGAGGCUCAACCUCGUGGAAACUGAUAAUACUGUCUUGCUUGAGUGCAGAAGAGGUUAACGGAACUCCAUGUGGAGCGGUAAAAUGUGUAGAUAUAUGGAAGAACAUCAAUAACGGCGAAGGCAGUUAACUAUUCUGUUACUGACGUUGAGGCACGAGAGCGUGGGGAGCAAAAAGG
rnacentral:rRNA from 1 species